AGAGUUUGAUCAUGGCUCAGGACGAACGCUGGCGGCGUGCCUAAUACAUGCAAGUCGAGCGGACAGAUGGGAGCUUGCUCCCUGAUGUUAGCGGCGGACGGGUGAGUAACACGUGGGUAACCUGCCUGUAAGACUGGGAUAACUCCGGGAAACCGGGGCUAAUACCGGAUGCUUGUUUGAACCGCAUGGUUCAAACAUAAAAGGUGGCUUCGGCUACCACUUACAGAUGGACCCGCGGCGUAUUAGCUAGUUGGUGAGGUAAUGGCUCACCAAGGCAACGAUGCGUAGCCGACCUGAGAGGGUGAUCGGCCACACUGGGACUGAGACACGGCCCAGACUCCUACGGGAGGCAGCAGUAGGGAAUCUUCCGCAAUGGACGAAAGUCUGACGGAGCAACGCCGCGUGAGUGAUGAAGGUUUUCGGAUCGUAAAGCUCUGUUGUUAGGGAAGAACAAGUACCGUUCGAAUAGGGCGGUACCUUGACGGUACCUAACCAGAAAGCCACGGCUAACUACGUGCCAGCAGCCGCGGUAAUACGUAGGUGGCAAGCGUUGUCCGGAAUUAUUGGGCGUAAAGGGCUCGCAGGCGGUUUCUUAAGUCUGAUGUGAAAGCCCCCGGCUCAACCGGGGAGGGUCAUUGGAAACUGGGGAACUUGAGUGCAGAAGAGGAGAGUGGAAUUCCACGUGUAGCGGUGAAAUGCGUAGAGAUGUGGAGGAACACCAGUGGCGAAGGCGACUCUCUGGUCUGUAACUGACGCUGAGGAGCGAAAGCGUGGGGAGCGAACAGGAUUAGAUACCCUGGUAGUCCACGCCGUAAACGAUGAGUGCUAAGUGUUAGGGGGUUUCCGCCCCUUAGUGCUGCAGCUAACGCAUUAAGCACUCCGCCUGGGGAGUACGGUCGCAAGACUGAAACUCAAAGGAAUUGACGGGGGGCCGC
rnacentral:rRNA from 1 species